GGACCUGUCUGUCUGUUAGACCAGUCCAAACGAGGGCAGAGAGAGAGCAAUGGACCUGUCUGUCUGUUAGACCAGUCCAAACGAGGGCAGAGAGAGAGAGAAAUGGACCUGUCUGUUAGACCAGUCCAAACGAGGGCAGAGAGAGAGCAAUGGACCUGUCUGUCUGUUAGACCAGUCCAAACGAGGGCAGAGAGAGAGAGAAAUGGACCUGUCUGUUAGACCAGUCCAAACGAGGGCAGAGAGAGCAGUGGGCCUGCUUGCCUGAUAGACAGAUUGACAGUGUUGAUAGAAGAGAUGUAGUGGGAGGUGUUUGUUCUUAGAUGUGGUACACCGUACCUCUGACUCAUUGUAAGAAUGUAAAAAAGACACUUUGGUAUUUGCAGACAUUGCUCUGUGUUCGUGUAUUUGGCAAGCUCAUCUCAAAAAUGUCCUCUUCAUCAUCCUCAUCAACACUGCUGAACUAUGGAUAAACACACUAUGGAUUUCUGCUACUGUGAUCAUAGUGGACAUCGAAUGGGUCAGUUCUCUGGGCUCGGAGGGGGAGGAUGGUGAUGAGGUGGGUCUGUGGAGCCCGGAACCCCAGGACUACCAGGGCAGCCUGGACAAGACCAGUCUGACCCCCAGCGAGGGUGAGGGAGACGGGGAAGGGACCGAGCCAGGAGGUACCCCCAGCCCCAGGGGCCAGUCAACCCAGCCCCAAAGCCCCAUCCCCAGGGAGGGCCACUGGACAGAGAGGGAAGAGGAGGUACCUGAGAUAACUAUGGACAGGAAGCAGAAAUCUCUCAUGACCUACACAGGUCAGAGGUCAGACAGCAGGGCCUUGGAGGACUUGGCCCACUAUGACUUCCUGGUUCAGUUGAGAAAGGCAUCCUCCCACCAACCUGCCUCACACCACUACCAGCACCACAACCACCUGCCCCCCAACGGCAGAAGCCCUGCCCCAGCCAUGUACCACACUGGCAGUCUGCGCCUCCAUGAUGACCUCCCUCCCGUCUGGUCUGUUGGGGCUCGGCGCUCAUCUGAGAGACCAGGUAGGUUAUGGAUAUUGCAUCCUUAUAAACACACAAAUCUCUGUUGAUAUAGCCCACAAGGCUAAUUUGAGUAGAAUAUUUGUAGUUACAUGUACAACAUCCGUG
rnacentral:lncRNA from 1 species